rnacentral:lncRNA from 10 species
GUUGACAGAUGGUCACAGGACGGCUGCCUCAGCUCCAAACAGCAACAUCUGAAGGAGAAAGCUGCAGGCCCGGACUGGAUGGCUUUGGCUAAGGAACCAACGCAGGUGGAGAAGGAGGCUGACGAUGGAGCCCAGGCACUCCAGCCUUGAAGGAGGAGAACCUGACCCUGAGCCUGCAUGGCAGCCGUGCGGGGGGACUUCGGGGGGUUUCCCCUUUGCUUCCAUCCAAAGAAAGUGCCCCACGUUUGAAAGCCUCUGUGCUGAAUGCUCCCAAUGCCCUCCGAUUCCAUCUAGGUCGUCCCUACCACCAAGGCAGGUGUGUG